rnacentral:rRNA from 1 species
CCAGACUCCUACGGGAGGCAGCAGUGGGGGAUAUUGCACAAUGGGGGAAACCCUGAUGCAGCGACGCCGCGUGGGUGAAGAAGUAUUUCGGUAUGUAAAGCCCUAUCAGCAGGGAAGAAAGAGGACGGUACCUGACUAAGAAGCCCCGGCUAACUACGUGCCAGCAGCCGCGGUAAUACGUAGGGGGCAAGCGUUAUCCGGAUUUACUGGGUGUAAAGGGAGCGUAGACGGCAGCGCAAGUCUGAAGUGAAAUGCCGGGGCUUAACCCCGGGACUGCUUUGGAAACUGGGCGGCUAGAGUGCAGGAGAGGUAAGUGGGAUUCCUAGGGGAGCGGGGAAAUGCGU